ensembl:snoRNA
UGCAAAUGAUGUUUUUCUCACGAUGGUCUUCCUAGCCUGUGAGGCUCUGACGACACUGCCUAAUGGUAACACUGAUGCAGUGUA